AUCAACGGCUUCGCACCAAUCCUAGGAUGCUAGUGCUUGUGGAGUGGGACCUUGGUGGGUUGCAAUUAUUAGAGUUUUGGAGAGAAAACUCAAAAUUUUGCUUCGCUCCAAAGGAUCCUAAAAAUUUUCUCUUGAGUCUAGUAUUGUGAAUGGGUGGUGCUCCCAAGCCUUGGAAGGCCAUAAGAAGAGUCAUGGGGAUGAUUCUAAAAGAUUA
rnacentral:lncRNA from 1 species